UGCCUAUAUAAUAAGACACAAGCACUCUUGGUUUAUGCCGUCCGGAGUCCGGAGCGUAGCCUCCUACUGUUUCCUCUUUAUACACUCCUCAUUAGUUUUCAGGGGAUUGUGGUUCUCGGUGAUGAAUAAAUGUUUAAGAUGACGAGUCCGAUCAUCCAUUCAAUCAUGACGACCAAUCGAGGCAUUUGUCUGAGAGAAACCCUUCUUAUUAUUAUUAUUAUUAUUUUUUUUCUUUUAAUUUUUUAGAUUCUCGAUUAUGUUAUACAUGUUAUAUAUAUAUAUUGGUUGGAGAGUGGGCAUAAUGAUGAUAAUUGGUUUUCUGAAGUUUGAUUGAUUGAAUAAACUAACCUCCUACUCAUUCUGAAUGCCUACAACAAAUCUCCAUCAUUCACCAUUUAAAUCUAUGUUUGGGCUCAGCCUCAGCCUCAGCCUCAGUUAGGGUUUUUAAUUGGUUAAGCAUAAAAUUCAGCGUCAUUUUAUUUGUUAAUUAUGGGGAAGUAAUAUUUGUUAGUUUAUAUUAUUAUUUUGUGGGGCACAUAAUUUUGUUUAAUAAAAAACUUAAACAAAACAUUAUUUUCCAAUCAUAAUUUCAAUUCGAAACAGAGGAUGACGUGGCUAUGAUGAGAAGAAGAACUCUCAAUAUCUAUUAUUCAUGGAGGACACUCUACCGAUGACUUUUCUUCAAGCACUUUUGAGCCAUGCUCCUCUAUCUCUAUGUAAUUAUAUAUAUAUAUAUAUAUAUAUAUAUAUAUAAUUACAUAUAUAUCUAUCUCUAUGUAUAUAUCUCUAUUCUAAUUUAAAACUCUUGAAUAUUGGAGGAUGAUUGGAAUUAAGGGCCUAAGGAAAAAAACUAGUUAAACUUUAAUUUUAAUUAUUUGUUUUAUUUAGUAAAUGAUUAUUAAUAAAUAAUUCUUAGACCACAGCUGCUGUUUUGUACAUUGAUGAGAGUUCGAUCUUUCAUAAGUUUUGUCGGUAAUAAUCCUGAAUCCUUCAUUUCAUAAACCUAUAUUAAAAAAUAAAAAUGUAUAAACUCAGUCAACAUGUAGUGGAGUGGAAGAUAAAAAAAAAAAAGGCCCUCAAAAAGGCAUUUUGAGGACUGAUUGGAAAACCGGAUUCAUCCAAAGUCCAUCCAUUAAACAGGGUCCAUCCAAAGAAUGGAUGGCCCAACUUGCUCUCAAGCUUGAUCAAAAUUAUUUUUUAAAAUUAAAAAAAUACCCUUUAAUUUUCUUAUUCACCCUCUCUUCCAUAAAAAAAAAAAAAAAUACUUACAAAAUAUAAGAACCAAAAUAUUAAUUGAUAAUAUUUUUUGCACACAUUGUAUUCAUAAAAGUACAAGAAUUAAUUUAAAUUGGAAGUGAGAGAAAAGUGAGAAGAGAAAAGAGAAUUUAACUUUUUAAAAGAAAAGGAAAGUACAGAAAGUUGGAGGGUAAAAGGAAAAAAAGGAAAAGAAAAAAAACGAGAUAAUGUGGUGGUGAAUCUGGUGAUAGAGAAGGAUGUGUUGUUGAGUAAAAGAAGAAGAAGGAAAGUAUGGUUAUGAUUUUAGAGACUUUGGUCUAAAUUUGGCGAUGCAAGUAGUUCAAUGGGGUUUCCAAAAAGUGGGCUCGAGAUUUUGGGUAGCCCAAAACGGUGACCUUGUUGGCAAUUGCGGGCCUGUCUUGCUUGGGCCCGCCUGCUUUAUUUUUUUAAUACUAUAACCCAGAAUUAAUUUUAAGGGCAGUGUUUGGCCUGGUAAAAAUUCCAAAAAUCAGUUUAUUUUAUUUUAUUUUUUAUUUUUAACAUAACUAAACCAAAGAGCUCUUAAGGCCUUAAAAGUUUUUUUGGGCAAAACAAAAGUAAAAAAAAAAUGGAGAAAAGUGAUUUUUAUUUUUUUCAAUCACACUAAUGAUAAUAUACUCCGUUAAGGCAUAUUGGCACAAAAGUAUAUUUUUGAAUUUCUUUUAAAAAAAUUUAUUAUAAUUUUUAAAUUCAUAUUAUAUUGUGUUGUUUUAAUUUUUAUAAUUCAUAAUAAAUAUUGUAUUGUUUAUUAUUAUUAUUAUUUUUUGUAUGAUACAGCAGAAAUGCACCAUUAGAAUACAUGCGAUAACUAAAUUUUGGAGACUCUAAAAUAUUAACGUGCCUAUGAGUAAUGCUGACGUGACUCUAAGAAACGUGAUUAAAGAUGCUCUAAGAAAUGGCAAACAAAAAGUAUUAAAAACAGUUGUCUUGUUUAGGGCUCAUUUUAGGAGAAUAAGAGCAUCUCCAAUGACAUUUCUAAAAUUUGGAUUUUCAAAUUUGCCAAAUCAGUAUUUUAUAAUAACCUUGUCAGCAGUUCCAAGAGUGACAUAACCGUUUUGGACUCUCUAAAUUUUGCUAUCGCAACAUGCUCCAAUGGUACGUUUUCACUCUUCAAAAAUUUAAAAAUUUAAAAAUUUUCAAAAAAUUUAAUAAAUUGUUUUUUUUUUUUUUUUUUGACGGCUACAUCAAACACAAAAUAUUAAACAAUAUAAUAUUUAUUAUGGAUUAGAAAAAUUUAAACAAUAUGAUAUGAUUUUUUUU